UUUAAAGAGAGUUUGAUCCUGGCUCAGGACGAACGCUGGCGGCGUGCCUAAUACAUGCAAGUCGAACGAACGGAGGAAGAGCUUGCUCUUCCAAAGUUAGUGGCGGACGGGUGAGUAACACGUGGGCAACCUGCCUGUAAGUUGGGGACAACUCCGGGAAACCGGGGCUAAUACCGAAUGAUAAAGUGUGGCGCAUGCCACGCUUUUGAAAGAUGGUUUCGGCUAUCGCUUACAGAUGGGCCCGCGGUGCAUUAGCUAGUUGGUAGGGUAAUGGCCUACCAAGGCAACGAUGCAUAGCCGACCUGAGAGGGUGAUCG
rnacentral:rRNA from 1 species